GUGCUCGCUUUGGCAGCACGUAUACUAAAAUGGGAACAAUACGGAGAAGAUUAGCAUGGCCCUGUGCAAGGAUGACUCGCAAGUUCAUGAAGCAUUCCAUAUUUUG
rnacentral:snRNA from 1 species